CUGGGAGGAAGGAUGGUAGGAUGGAAGGCUGGGGGGUGGUGGUCAGUUAGAGGCUAUUGCGGUUGUGGGCAGGAGAGCUGCUGCUGCUGGUGGUGGGUCACUGAUUCUGCUGGAGAGAUGCUGAGAUGGGUGGCAGCGCUGGCAGGACCCAGUUAUGGACCAGAGGGACUCUGAAGAGUCUUCUCCAGCACCACAACUUGAAAGCAUCAACUCUUUGGCACUCAGCCUUCUUUAUGGUUCAACUGUGAUAUCCGUACAUGACUACUGGAAAACCACAGCUUUGACUCUACGGACCUUUGACUGGAGGAGCUGCACACCUUGGGAGAUGGGAGAGAUAUGAACGAGAAGGUUAAUGUUUCCGUACACCUCAGAAUCAUGAUGGCUCACGGGAAGCGUGUGUGUGUUUCCUCCUGCAAAUAAGAGGUGCCACAGCCCAGGACGCUGAUUCUCAAUGUACCUAAGAGAUGGCAUGUCAUCCCCACUUUGGACUUGAGGCUGGAGAGGGAUGGGGAGCCAUUGGCGUGGGGCACCCAAGGGAGAGAAGGUCUCAAACUCUUCCGUGGAGCUGGGCAGCCUGGCUUAAAGAAAAACAGUAACUAGUUUCUUGGUU
rnacentral:lncRNA from 1 species